rnacentral:rRNA from 1 species
AGAGCGAACGCUGGCGGCAGGCUUAACACAUGCAAGUCGAGCGCCCCGCAAGGGGAGCGGCAGACGGGAGAGUAACACGUGGGAACGUACCUUUCGGUUCGGAACAACCCAGGGAAACUUGGGCUAAUACCGGAUACGUCCGUAAGGAGAAAGAUUUAUCGCCGAAAGAUCGGCCCGCGUCUGAUUAGCUAGUUGGUGAGGUAACGGCUCACCAAGGCGACGAUCAGUAGCUGGUCUGAGAGGAUGAUCAGCCUCACUGGGACUGAGACACGGCCCAGACUCCUACGGGAGGCAGCAGUGGGGAAUAUUGGACAAUGGGCGCAAGCCUGAUCCAGCCAUGCCGCGUGGGUGAUGAAGGCCCUAGGGUUGUAAAGCCCUUUCGGCGGGAAGAUAAUGACGUACCGCAGAAGAAGCCCGGCUAACUUCGCGCCAGCAGCCGC